rnacentral:tmRNA from 1 species
GGGGACGAUUAGGAUUCGACGACGGUGACGAAACCCGAGGUGCAUGCCGAGUGCGUAGCAGCUCUCGUUAAUAAAAUUGCUACAAACUUAUUAGUUGCCAACGACGACAACUACUCCGUAGCACUCGCCGCUUAAAACCGGCUCGCUACCAGUUAGACUGACUUUUCUGUUGGUUGGAUCUAACUGUCAUCUUAAACAGAAUCGCUGCCUCCUGUGGGCCUGACACAGGACAGCUAGACUCUACCAGAAUCGCUUUGAAAAUCUCGCCUGCUGGAUCCUUCAAAGUUAAAAUAAAAGCAGAUCUAAGCAUGUAGAGCCAAAGGUAGAGUGCCGGCGGACGGGGGUUCAAAUCCCCCCGUCUCCACCA